CAAGGGCAGAAAAGGUAAAUAAAGAUUUUGCGAUCGAAAAGUAAAGUCGAGAGUGUUUAGUUCGGUGAUAAUAAAGUUUUAUUCCAAAAUUGAAUUUGUGAGCUUGGUAGUGAAAAAUACUACAAAAUAAUCCGGAUAAAUCGUCGGUUAGUGGUAUCGAAAGAACCAAAUUCGGUGAUUAUUGGAUAGUGCGACCUUAGGAAGUUUUUGGAAAACCGCCGUAGAAUCGCUGUAACGGUUGAGUAAAUCCAACUGUCCGACCAAAUUCGCGAGAUCCAAGUAGGGUAGGUGAACCUAUAGUUGACACCUGGAAGUAUAGUCGAACCUAGUGGGUAGAAGGAAACCACUACUUGUAAGUCAUUGAUUAGAUUAAGCUGUAAAUUUGUAUUGAGUAAAAUAAAUAAUUACAGUUUUGAGCAUCGCCACAAAAAGUGUGCUGCUUCAGAAAUUUUGGAUUCCCUU